rnacentral:rRNA from 1 species
GAUGAACGCUGGCGGCGUGCCUAACACAUGCAAGUCGAGCGAUUCUCUUCGGAGAAGAGCGGCGGACGGGUGAGUAACGCGUGGGUAACCUGCCCUGUACACACGGAUAACAUACCGAAAGGUAUGCUAAUACGAGAUAAUAUGCUUUUAUCGCAUGGUAGAAGUAUCAAAGUUUUUGCGGUACAGGAUGGACCCGCGUCUGAUUAGCUAGUUGGUAAGGUAACGGCUUACCAAGGCGACGAUCAGUAGCCGACCUGAGAGGGUGAUCGGCCACAUUGGAACUGAGACACGGUCCAAACUCCUACGGGAGGCAGCAGUGGGGAAUAUUGCACAAUGGGCGAAAGCCUGAUGCAGCAACGCCGCGUGAGCGAUGAAGGCCUUCGGGUCGUAAAGCUCUGUCCUCAAGGAAGAUAAUGACGGUAC